AUUGAACGCUGGCGGCAGGCUUAACACAUGCAAGUCGAGCGGAGAUGAGGUGCUUGCACCUUAUCUUAGCGGCGGACGGGUGAGUAAUGCUUAGGAAUCUGCCUAUUAGUGGGGGACAACAUUCCGAAAGGAAUGCUAAUACCGCAUACGUCCUACGGGAGAAAGCAGGAGAUCUUCGGACCUUGCGCUAAUAGAUGAGCCUAAGUCGGAUUAGCUAGUUGGUGGGGUAAAGGCCUACCAAGGCGACGAUCUGUAGCGGGUCUGAGAGGAUGAUCCGCCACACUGGGACUGAGACACGGCCCAGACUCCUACGGGAGGCAGCAGUGGGGAAUAUUGGACAAUGGGGGGAACCCUGAUCCAGCCAUGCCGCGUGUGUGAAGAAGGCCUUAUGGUUGUAAAGCACUUUAAGCGAGGAGGAGGCCACUGAGACUAAUACUCUUGGAUAGUGGACGUUACUCGCAGAAUAAGCACCGGCUAACUCUGUGCCAGCCGCCGCGGUAACAC
rnacentral:rRNA from 1 species